rnacentral:rRNA from 1 species
CACACCACGAGAGUUGGCAACACCCGAAGUCGGUGGGGUAACCUUUUGGAGCCAGCCGCCUAAGGUGGGGCCAAUGAUUGGGGUGAAGUCGUAACAAGGUAGCCGUAUCGGAAGGUGCGGCUGGAUCACCUCCUUUCUAAGGAA